UCGCCACCCUAGAUUGCACGGUGGAGGGCAAGAAGCUCUCAGACCGCCACUCCUUCCACAAACUGUGCGUGGGUUCAGCUGCCGCAGCGCAGCGAGACCCUGCAUUUGUGACGUACAGCCAGUUUAUUUCGGCGUUAGGCGAGCAUAAAAUUGACAUACUGAAAAUCGACGUCGAGUCAUUUGAGUUUCCGCUGUUCGGGGAGUGGCGUGAGCACUCGCGAUCCCUGCCCGAGCAGAUUGCCGUAGAAGUGCACUGGCAUGAGGCUUACCUCAGGAAUUUUGAGGCAGACCUUCAAUCGCACUGGGGUCGCGGUGAAUUUGGCGUGACGGAUCUGGCGUUGUUCUUCCUCCACCUAGCAAACCUGGGCUAUGGCAUUGUCAGCCAGGAGAUAAACGAAUUUUGUCCGUCGUGCUCCGAAUUUACAUUGGUACGGGUUGAGGCAUCAGUGCCGUACGGCGGCAAUGGUGCCGUGCAUACGGGAUGGCACGGUGCCUAAAAGAAUUUGCCUUAGUUAGCCUUGGACUGUUUGUCGUGUGAGAUGCAGGGGCUGGGCAAGGAUAUGGUGCGCCAGAAUGUUCAUCGCCCACAUGGGUUCGCGCGUUUGCGUCUGCGUGGUAUGAUCGUGGUUCCUUCAAGCUGUGCCCAUUGCGGUCGAUCACCAAAAGUUUGCGUUCCAGGCUCCACGCGUACUACUCUGUCUUCUGCGGGAAACUGAUUCUACCCAUAAUUUAAAAUUUAACCAUUAAUUAUAAUUCUAAGUUAUAAUUUAACUGUUAAUGAAGGUGAGAGCCUUCUUUUUGUAAUCUUGCCUAUGAAUGGUGCCACUGUCUCAGUAAUCAUACAAGUCUAUUAUUACGAAUUACGAAAUACGAAAUACGAAUAAAGGUUUUCGUGGAUUUUUAUGCCGUUUCUGUACUCAGCUACCGAAUUAGAUUGACUAUCGGUUCUUUCAUUACAUGUUUUUGAGCAUUAGUUUUUGUGAACAGUCAGAUAUCUAGGAACAAGUUCGAACAAGUUCGACCCACUAAAAGUUAAUUUAGUUUCAUGUCAGUGUUUCAUUCUCAUCGUUAAUAUUGUACGCCGAAGAGGAGCUGCGCCCCAAUAGCAACACAUAUUCAUAUGUAGUGGUGGAGACGCCAUAUAGCUUUUUUAUAUUUGCAGUGUAGUUAUAAAUCUCAUGCUACGCGUAUGUCGGCUUGCUCACCUGAAGAAUUGUUGCUAUGUAGUGGGUGUGCAGCCUAUGUUGUGACGAUACUUAUGAGAAAUGACGAGCACGGUGAGGAAUGAGGUGCGAUAAGCUUACAAUGAGCAAAGCUACCUGAUGAGUUGUGCAAACUCCACACUACUACAACAUUCUUCGUCUUGUGCCUGAUUGUGCCUUGGUAGCUGAAAGGCCGAUUCUUCGCCUGGUUUGCCUGGGAUGUGUUCGGGCAAUCCUGCGAUGCAUUUGGAAAAGCCUGAGCCUUGUCCGAAAACACAAACACGGCAAUACAAGCAGCAUAAACGUGCUCCUCUCCCUCGUCUCCCUCUCUCCCUGAACGCGUCUCCUCUCCCUCGUAGGAACGGGGUUGACCACGGGGGAGAUGGGGAUGGGGUGUGUAAACGGAGACGCGUGGACGUUUUCCGGGAGUUCCGCGGACCGCGAACGGGAGCGGUUGCGGUUGGAGUCCGUGGGAACGAGAGCCAUCGGAGGAUGAGGGAGACGAGACGAAGACGAAGACGAAGAUGACCAGCGAAGCGUGAAGGCAGGAUCGCCUAACAGGGUGUUUCCACUUGGCCGAACACUAACACUAAGUUUGAAUGUUCUUCGUCCUGGACUCGUUUCUCGCCGUUCUAAAUGCAUAUAUUGAUACUACUAAUGAUAAUAGAAAAUAUUCAUCAAACAAAUUGGAGGUUGGGGCACUCCUGGCGGAGAACCGUAAGGCCUAGUGGAAACACCCCGUACACUAAGUCCACACUAGCGCACACUAAAGUUCCGUCAGACGGCAAGCAACCAGGAAUCCACAUGGCGAAGUAUAAGCAUUGGAUGGGGUUGGCGGCCGAGCAAGCGGGCAGGAAGGAGGCGCUCCCGCACAUCACAAUGUUUAUCCCACGUUCGGCGAAUCGCAAGCUUACAGGGUGUUUCCACUUGGCCGGACACUAUCUUCGGUACACUAUGUGCUAGUGUGGACUUAGUAUAGUGCUAGUGUGACGGUGUUUCCACUAGCGGCACUAAGGAGCGCCGAAACCAAAAUUGUUUUCGUAUUAUGAAUGUUUUAGCGCCAGGGAUUAAUUGCUGAUAAUUAAGCAUUCGCGUAGUUAAGAUCCGCUGCGGCGCAACCUGCGUCAUGAUGUCCGCCAUGAAGUCCGCAUGGUGCAUUGGCAACGGCCGGCCAGCGAAGGAAGGCAAACGAGCAGUAUAUGUUUGCUGAACGUUAUUGAAGGAGGGCUCCAUUGCAAAAUGGCGGUGUUCUGAGGCUGUCGGUGUUGGGCGUGCGCAAGUCAACGCGGCGUUUGCAGGAAGGAAAAAAGAUAGCUGCUUACGUCUAAAGUCUAUGGUCAGAAGGGAAAUCCAGCUCAUAAAAGUUGCCCGCCAAAUAGUUAGUGCUAGGUACUAAAGUUAAUGGCAGGUCUGAGGUCCAAUUAACUUUAGUGUGCGCUAGUGUGGACUUAGUGUACGGGGUGUUUCCACUAGGCCUUACGGUUCUCCGCCAGGAGUGCCCCAACCUCCAAUUUGUUUGAUGAAUAUUUUCUACUAUCAUUAGUAGUAUCAACAUAUGCAUUUAGAACGGCGAGAGACGAGUCCAGGACGAAGAACAUUCAAACUUAGUGUUAGUGUUCGGCCAAGUGGAAACACCCUGUUAUGCAGUUUAGGCUUUGCUGUUGGGCACUGGCGGCUAACAGAGCGCGUAAGGGACGGCAUUAUAUACCUAGGGAGGAGCGAGUAUGCCCUUGCUGCGGCACUGAUAGCCACAUCGAGGAUGAGAAACACAUUUUGCUGGAUUGUCCGGUUUACGACGAAAUCAGAUCUGAUAUGGGCCUUCCACGCUUCGAGCAUAUGAAGGACGCUACGAAGUGGGAACCUGAACGCCUGGCAAGGAUGCUGGAACGUAUAUGGUCUCACCGCAACUCUAUCGUUCCCUUUGGUCGUUAGUAUACUUCAUCACUUGUCUCGUUGGAAGUGCGAGGUAGGAUGGUGCUUAUUGGCGAUUUGGUAGCCCUUGAGCCCUCGGCUCGUACUAGGGUAGUUUGCAGGUACGGGGAACGCACCCACGACCAUGUAACAACAACAACAACAACAACAACAACAACAACAACAGGACCUUUCGUCCAGCAUGGACACGUGGAUCCGCAGCCAAUGCAUGGAGGCACCAUCGGCCGAAGACAACCCAGCUGGCCUGAUCGCCUGGUGGCCAGGCUUCAAGCGCCGCCUUGCCACCCUGGCCCAUCGACUCAACAAGGCAGCACAACAACGCCGACGACGGCCUGGCACCCGUGCCCGGGAAGCAAUUGCUGCGGUCCAGCGGGCUCAGCAAGCAGUCGAUGCGGCGCCCACAGCACCCCAGCCACUGCAGCAGCUAGUGGACGCACAAGCAGCACUGGCUAGGGCGCACCAGGAGGAUGGCAGCAUGGCAGCCAAGGAAGCACGGGCCCACUGGCUCCGGGCAGGGGAACGGACCGGCCCUGCCCUGACAGCCUUCCUUAAAGCCCAGGCGGCCGAACAGCAGCCUGCCCCAGUCGCACUCCAGGCGCACAGCGGCCGCCUAGUGACCAACCCAGCACAACUGCCGCAGGUCGUGGCAGACUACUGGGCUGAGAUCAGCCGAGCUCCUGACUUCAUCAGCCCCAGUGCCCAACAGGAGGUACUUGCCCAGCUGUCUGCGGCCAACAUCAGCCUCCCUGCAAACGCAGAUGAACAGCUUGGCUCCAAAACCAUCACAGCAGCGGAGCUACGGGUCGCACUGGUCAAGAGCCAGCCCGGCAAGGCACCAGGAUGGGACGGCAUCCCAGCCGACCUAUACCGCAAAUUCUGGUCCACCAUUGGCAACACCAUGGCGGGCCUCUUCACCGCCAUAGGCGCAACGGGGCAGGUGCCGACCGGGUUCCUGGAAGGCAUUAUCACGGUGCUCUACAAGAAGGGCGACCCCAAGCAACCCGGUAACUACCGCCCUAUCACGCUACUAUGCGCCGACUACCGCCUGCUCGCCAAGGUACUGGCCAACCGCCUGGGGCCGGCCCUGGGGCGCAUCAUCACCCCCGAGCAGUCGGCCUUCCUCCCCAAACGGCUCAUCGGGGCCAGUGUGAUGUUCCUGCGCCACCUAUCCCACCUCCUCCGCAAGCAGAACCGCCGGGGUCUCCUGGCGUUCCUGGACUUCGCGAAGGCAUAUGACACGGUGGACCGCGACUUCUUGCUAGCUGCGAUGGAGGCGAUGAGGGCGGGCCCGCAGCUGUGCAGCUGGGUUCGGCUACUGCUCAGCAACACGCAGGCACGAGCCAUGGUCAAUGGCUUUAAAUCAAGGCUGGUUGGGAUGGAGGCAGGCGUACGACAGGGGUGCCCCCUCGCGCCUCUGCUGUACCUCUUCAUCGCCCAGGCCCUGCUCUGCUGGCUCCGGAGCCGAGAUGUGGGGGUCAAACUACGGCCGAAUGACCAGGACCGCGUCACAGCCUGCCAGUUCGCGGACGAUACUGAAGUGGCGCUGGAGGGCGAGGAGUCAGUACCGUCGUUCCUAGAAGCCAUGGAGACCUUCGCAAGGGCGUCAGGCCAGCGCCUCAAUGUGGAAAAGGUGGAGCUGUUGAGGGUCGGUGCUGAGAACCAGCAACAACAGCAGCAGCCACAACCGGCGGGUAGGCAGCAGCUGCAGCAGCCACUACACCAACAGCCGCAGCAGGAGACAAUUGGUGGACUCAAAGUAGUCACCACCGCCACAGCCCUGAACUUGCCGGUAGACAACCGGCCCACACCCCCGCAACCCGAAUGGCCCAAGAUGCUGGCAGGCGCCUACAAGCGGAUGCAGCGGCUCGCCCGCUUCCCACUGUCAGCCUUCGGCAGGGCCACCGCCACGUCCGCCUACGGCCUGCAGACGGUCACCUGGCACAUGGAACAUGGCGGACCCCCUCCAGACAGCACUCUGGACCACAUCGAGCGGCUGACGGCCCGCCUGGUCGACCGGCAACAGGGCCCAGAAGACCCAGGCCAGCGUCUCACAGGUGUACCCGGCAGCCUUUUAGUAGGCCAUCCGUCAACCGGGGGUUUCGGCCUGCUGCCGCUCCGACAGCACAUCCACGCUCGCCACGCAGUCUGGGCCGUGCGAUUCAUUGCACAGGCACUACCGGCGGCAGGUUGUGAAGGUAGGGGUGCGGGAGGGGAAGUAACUGGGGGAGCAGGCGGGGACGAGGAGGUGGCAGCGGCAACCAACAGUGAGGCCCGGGGCCUACACCCCUGGGUACGCACGCUGUCCGCCUACCUGGAGCUCACCCACCCUGCACUCCAGCCUUGGGCUCUGACAACCGCCCGGGCCACGGGACCGUGGCUCGGCAGCAGCGACCUUCCCGCAGACAUCAGCCGGAUCGUGGGGGCACUGGGUCACUUACCGCCUCUGGAGGACAUUGGCAGAACCCCUCUGGAACCCGGUGAUUGGUGCUGGGCGGUGGCGCUGUGGGGCAACCCACUGCUGCCCAACGCGACCAAUGCUGCAAGCACCGAGGGCCCCAGCCGUCGACCAGGCCUGGAAGCAUACCACGCAGCACUGACGCCAUGCAGGAAACUACGCACGGUGGGGGACCUGGUACGGGUGUGGGAAGCGGUAAACACUAGCCAAGCCACCACCCUCCAGGGAGCAGCCUGGCAUUCGUGGGCCCGUGAGCACCUCGACCCAGCCACAGACCCCGCCCAGCUGCAGGACAAGGAUGCCGCCCUUGCAGCUCUUGGAGCCCUGCACAGCGACAUCAGCCCGGCCUGGCUGGCGGCAGCACACGCGGUGGAGAUCAGGCUGCGACAGCAACAACCAGUGGAGGAGGAGGGGCCCCAGCAGCAGCCACCAGCACCAGCAGUGACACUGCCAGACUGCGCACAAGUGAUGGCUAUGAUCAUCGGGCGCCUGGGGUGGCGCCUCCCUGGGGCGACGGACGCUGUGCCGCUCCGCCGCCUAACGGUCAGUCUAGCGACACAGCUACAGAACGGGCAUGUGGACGAGCGGCGAAUACGCCUGAUGACCGACUUCGUGCAUGAGGCCCUGAACACGCCCGAGGCCCAGGCCCAGCCUGACAAUUCUGCCGAGGUUAGCCGCUUUCAGGCAACCCUGACACGUUUGUGGCAUGGGGUGCGCUGGGAGAAUGAGAACAAGGAGACCAUGUGGCGUCUCGCCNNNNNNNNNNNNNNNNNNNNNNNNNNNNNNNNNNNNNNNNNNNNNNNNNNUGUCCAGUCGCACGUGCCGUACGGGAGCAGAUCGACAGGCACCUGCCACACACUCAGACAACAGUAGGGGCCACCACCACCCGGCAGCAGCUCUGGCUUGCCCAAGCGCCACCCGGGUGUGAGCAGGGCCCGUGGGACGUGAUCGCCCUAGCGGCGCUAUCCGCCAUGGAAGUCGGCAGGUGCUGCCUCCGAGCAGCAACCCGGCGACAGGGACGGAGGGGGGCGACAGCAACGGCAGGACCGCAGCAGCAGCAGCGACAGCAGCAGCGACAGGUGGUGGGGCAGCCCCAGCAACAGAGGUCCCGCCAGCGGGCCAUCACAGAUUUCUUCACCCCGGCGGGAGGUGCAAUGCAGCAAGAAGGACCCACCCUAAACGCCCCAGCGGAGGACGGGCCAACGCAGGAAGCAGGGGCGGGAGGGGGCGAGGCGGUGGCAGCAGCAGCAACGGCGGGCGCAACAGGAGCCUCGCCACUGGCCCGCGCACGCGCCCGGGCGGUGGCAGACGUCUGGGCGCGUUUGCGCUCGUUCGCAAUGCUGGAGACCCCCAGACACGGCUGGGACAGAGUCGGGCCGCAGCACCCCAUCCUGGCGGUCGUGGAGGAACGGAUGCGGUGCGCAGCACCGGUGGAAAUCACGGCCUAAAUAGCCGAGAUAGAGUUGGAUCGAGGUCUUACCGGAAAGGGAGCAGGGAGAGUGAGGGAGGGGGUGAGAGAGCCAGGAGUAGGGAUAGGUGAGGGAGCGAGGAGAGCAGGGAGGCCCUGGACAGUUGGAGGGCUGGGCGAGAGGGCAGUGCCCUGAGCGUGGUCUAGCAGGGGGAGUUGAGGACCCGGGCUGUGUGUGUUUUGUGUACUUGUGUGGUUGCCCUCUCCCCGGGAAUUGGGGCCCGUCGGAGUGAGGGGAAUGGGUUCUGCGCUGUCUGGCAUCAGAGUAGAGAACACGUAGGUGGCUUGCGGGAGUGGAGAGGAGGUGGGAAAGCGGUGGAGGAGAGUGGUUUAGAGGUGGAGAACAGGUGGUGCUGGUCCCGGCCGGUCAGGGUCAGGAGGGGAGGGAUUCCGGUGUGGUAAGCGGGAACAGGCGGCGUCUGUGAGCCGUGCCUUUUCCGGGCUUUAUAGGGGGGCGCCGUGCUGGCUUGUCAUCCCCCCCGCGGCUAUAGGUGUUUUUGCUGUGUCUCGCGCUGGGCUGCAUCCGAGAGCCCGCAACCCCCAGGAGGAGACUGACGUGCGGACCAGUUUCGCCUCGUUUGUGAGUGGACCGGCGGGGUAGUGGUGGCCACCCUCGGGAAGUGAUCGUUGUUCGUUGCUCGUGGUAGUUGAACAGCUGGCCUUCGAGGACCAGUGUGCGAGUACUCGCUUUGUGUUGGUCAUUCCUGUGCAACCGUAUCUCGGCUUUUGUGGUGUGUCGUCUCAGGCCCGUGGUCCUCCGUGUGUCCCUUGCCUUGCUGGCUGCGUGGGGCCCUGGUUCUUUUGUGUGUGUAGAGGAGGCCCCCGAGUAGAGCCCCUGCCCCCGGUGGUGUUUUCUUUUUGUUCUGGUUUUGGCGGUCAAGAGGGACGAGAGCGCGUGAAUAGGCAGGCCAGGCGAAGUGGCGCCUUUCGUGCGGUUCUUGCAUAGAUCGGUUUGCGCCGCUGUGUUGCCUAGCCAGGGGCUGGGAGAGUGUCCCGGUUGGCGUGAGUGAGGGAUCGAGGCGCGCGCGGAGGAACAGACGGACGUAGAGCCGCGCGCCCAUCCCUGCGCUGUGUUUCGGCCCGGUCAGGGCCCCCGGUGCUCGUCCUUUAUCGGGCGAGCCGCCCACAGUGUAACACCCCAUCAACAACAACUACCAGGACCUCAGACCUGCCAUUAACUUUAGUACCUAGCACUAACUAUUUGGCGGGCAACUUUUAUGAGCUGGAUUGUCCCUUCUGACCAUAGACUUUCGACGUAAGCAGCUAUCUUUUUUCCUUCCUGCAAACGCCGCGUUGACUUGCGCACGCCCAACACCGACAGCCUCAGGACACCGCCAUUUUGCAAUGUAGCCCUCCUUCAAUAACGUUCAGCAAACAUAUACCGCUAGUUUGCCUUACUUCGCUGGCCGGACGUUGCCAAUGCACCAUGCGGACUUCAUGGCGGACAUCAUGUGAGGGCUGCCAGGAAAAGCCUACGAUCCAUAAUUUUUCUUACAGACCUUGACAAUUAUCAGCAAUCAAUUCCUGGCGCUAAAACAUUUAAAAUACGAAAACAAUUUUGGUUUCGGCGCUCCUUAGUGCCGCUAGUGGAAACACCGUCACACUAGUACAACGUUCUAUAUUUUAUUACUUUUUCCUUUCCGUAUUUGUGUUCUUUGCUUGCCGCUUCACGUCGACAUUUUUUCGGACGUGACACCUUGUCACACCCCAUAUGUUUGGUCGAUUUGCGUCAUGUGAACUCUUAUGCUCGGCCAUUACUUCACAAUGGAGAUCUUCCUUGCAUUUGCCGUGUUUCCUCUCUUAUUCAACAACACCGCGUUUCGGCCCCGGCCGCAACGCGUCCUGUUACGACAUUCUUGCCGGGUUGCGCAAAGAAUAAUUGUGUCUCAGUCCAAGCAUGCUCGUCCAUUUUCAUCCAACAUUCAGGUGGGCAGGAUAAAGUCUAGUUUUUUCUUUCUGUUGUUCUUCCUGCUUUCCUGCUUUCUGAGUCAUGAACCUUGUGACAAAGCAAACAACCAUGUGAGUUAAAAAUGGAGUGACUACAUUCUCGUUUCAAUUUCCUCUUUCAAAGCCUUCCAAGUUUCUUGCUUCCUCAGGUGGCUUAUGUGAGCUCAUGAGGCUCGGGCGGCCAAAGUCUGGCUCGAUUUCAUCGUGCAAGGUUGAUCAGGUCAUAAGGGUUUGUUAGCAUUUGCACGGUAACAGUAUUUGCACCGCCUUUCGUUUAGUGAUGAGUCCUGUUGCAACGCAAAGUUGGUUUCCCUCUGUGCAGUUUUGUGGCCAUUGUUUGUUUCUUUGGAAACAUCCUGUUGUUUGGAAACACGCAUAACAUAAGCUACCAAAGGCUUGCUCGUUACAUUUUCCUGAAAAGUUUCUUACCGAUACCGGUACCAGUACUGACUGUAAUCCCGUUUGCCUGACGAAAAAGAAUAUACUCUGAUUUACUCGGUAAGCCAUUAGUUCCUACGCAUUCACCUAUUAAUCCAAUAAUAAUGCUGCUCACGGAUGACCGGCCCUAUUUUGACCACAGGCCGCGCCAUAGAACUGCAAGGCUACGGCCCGCCUUCAGGCCCGAAUGCACUGCACUUUUACUGACUCAUAAACCUCCCCAAAGCCAUGCUAACAUAUCUCCAAAAUAAUACACCAUCAAGAAAUCGCCUCCUGCUAGUAAAAGGCAAUAUAAGGCAAAUAGGGCCGGUCAUCCGUAAGCAGUCCCUAAUCGCAUUCUAUAUCGCUGGCACCCGUACCCCAAGGACCCUUGCGCUGUCUUAUAACGAGUCGCGAGAAUCAUUUAGAGUCUCUGAUCAAUUUGUAAUUCUUGGGCUGCACUACAACGACGUGUCCGUACGCCCUACAUACGGCUUAUGGUCGCCAAGUAACAUAAUACUAUGACACUACCGUUACGCUGAUACACAAGUUACUACGAUAGUAGUGCAAGUGGUGCGAAUGGGCAACAUGAGAGUUAACUUCGCUUCAAGACUAAUCCGUUUGUUAUGGGGAGGGCUUUACGUGGCCACUGUGUCCGCUUCUUUCUCAAGUACUCACAGCUUUGAAGCGCAAAAAUCCCUACGUGUUGCUGCUUAUGACGACGAAUGGGGGCUCCAUGCCGCCCGCAACUUGUCUGCUUGGCGCUCGCACCUCUUUGUGGCGACAGAAAAGGUUAGCUGUCCAAGUUAUAUGCUGGAUCAAUAAAUAUAUAUAAGUGUUAGCAGCCGCAAAGAAGUUGACACGGGAGUCCCUUCUGUUGAAAAGGUUGCGAGACUGUUCCAAACCGUAGCGGAAUUUUCUGUGCAGAGCCCUGCCAACGCUUGCAGUGAUCUCUUACCAUGGGGAUUUUGAAGAGUAUUUAGUCACAAUAAAGAAAGAUGUGUUAUGGCAAGAAGAGCGUCUGUGCCGGUAGGGUAUCUCCGCCGCUGUCUACCAAUGAAUGCUUAUGUAACAUUGUCGAGGGAAGCUUGAAUAUCGGAUGUGUGAGGCCCCAAUUGCAUCACAGGACACGACUCACCGUCAUAUUCUUGCAAAUGAUGGCAACCGGGCCCGGCAGCACUUCACAUCCCUCCUCUCUGACCCCCCCUUCUUCCGCGCCCAGUACAUCGUCUCUAAGGGCAACACCGACAAGCCGAGGGACUGGGACCGGUUCCACUUGUUCCAGCCCUUCAUCAGCUGCCCGCCAGGGCGGCCGCUGCGCCGUGUGGGUCCCGAGGGUGAUGGCGGCAAAUGGCUCUGUGAGCCCGCUGCCCUAAAGGAACCGUGCAUCGUCAUUUCCAUGGGCAGCAACAUGGAUUUCAGGUAGGCGUGGUGUCUAAUGGAAAGAUCUCCGCACUGGGGACUCACUUUGAUAUUUGCCGCGGCCGACAUCUGAAACCCGACAAGUGUGCCCUAGUAGUACCCAGCUGCGGGCGGGGGCGGGGGCGGGGCCUGGAAAGAGUUGGAAGUUGGUUCGAUUGGUGUGCUUUGAAGACCAAGCCGCAGAUCAGCGCUCGUAAGUUUAGAGCUGACCCCCCAGUCCUUAGGAUGUUUGGAUUUGCGAAUGGUGGUUGCGGCAUACAGCCCAGUAGGUGCUCCUCCACCUCACCAUUUCGAAAAAUGAAACGAUAACGCUUGCUAGCACUUCAUCUCCAGAGGGCGCCCUAAACACAAGCUCAACGCUGCGUUCAAAUGUGACCUUAUGACUGAUGCCAUGUGGUAACGCUGCGGUUACUAUGCUUUUGCUGCUACUCCUGCUGCUGGUGCUGUUGCCGCUAAUAUGCCAAAUGUACGAAUGUACGACAGGUUCGAGGAGGCCAUCUUGAAUGAGACGCGCUGCAAGGUCGCCACCCUAGAUUGCACGGUGGAGGGCAAGAAGCUCUCAGACCGCCACUCCUUCCACAAACUGUGCGUGGGUUCAGCUGCCGCAGCGCAGCGAGACCCUGCAUUUGUGACGUACAGCCAGUUUAUUUCGGUGUUAGGCGAGCAUAAAAUUGACGUACUGAAAAUCGACGUCGAGUCAUUUGAGUUUCCGCUGUUCGGGGAGUGGCGUGAGCACACGCGAUCCCUGCCCGAUCAGAUUGCCGUAGAAGUUCACUGGCAUGAGAUGUACAUGAGGAAUUUUGAGGCAGACCUUCAAUCGCACUGGGGUCGCGGUGAAUUUGGCGUGACGGAUCUGGCGUUGUUCUUCUUCCACCUAGCAAACCUGGGCUAUGGCAUUGUCAGCCAGGAGAUAAACGUUUUGUGUGGGAUGUGCUCCGAAUUCACACUGGUACGGGUUGAGGCAUCAGUGCCGUACGGCGGCAUGGAUCCCGUAUAUUCGGGAUGGCACAGUACCUAAUAAGCUUGCCUUAGUUAGCCUAGGACUGGUUGUCGUGUGAGAUGCAGGGGCUGGGCAAGGAUAUGGUGCGCCAGAAUGUUGAGUGCGUGUGAGGACAUCGACAGUUCACGGGAGGAGCGCUAGUUUAAGUGUUUUUUGAAAUGGCUGCGUAUGGCCAUCCAGCUCCGCCCUUGACUUGUCUCUGAUUAUGGUUGUAAAGGAGACCACCAAAAGGUUGGCCCUGAGGGCCGCUUGAUGUGAUUCCUGAGUGCAGGCCACCUCCAAAACUGGGGCCGGCGGGGUCCGUGUGCGUGACGACCCGAUCGUGUUGUCGCACUCAUGUUGUGAUCCCAGUAGCGUCAGCGCACCUAGUUCGGUUCCGAGAGGCACCGAAGAAAAAUUUUAGGUUCUAUAAAACCUGGAAUAGCUACCCAAAAUACAGAAGGACCCAACAAUUCCUUCUGUUAAGUUAAAAAAAGCGGCAGCUCAUUCAACUGUCGUAGUGCUAAGCUAAUUUGGUGAUUUCCAUUUGGCGAGAGCCAAAAAACGCCUUCGAAAAUUUUGCCUUCGCACAUGCCAGUUGGUGACGGUUCAAGCGGGAAAUAGGUCUGGAUUUUUAGGCUUGGCUGUUACUCUUCCUGCUGUGUAAGGCCCGUGGCAGCGGUACAAUCCUCGCCAAAAAAAUCGUCCAAACCGCGCCGUUCAGCACCAUCGGGUCAGCCAAUCCACAGCCACCAAAGCCAGUUACGGGAGUCAGUAAAACACAGAACACGUGUUCUGAAAAUUGGUGACGGCCAAAAGGCCCACCGCGCACGCGCACAACCGCGCCGUUGAGUCUCAAACCCUUUCCAUAACGCAGCGAAAUGACCACCUAUUGCCUUGGAUGAUUAGUCGUUCAGUCGCACUCCUAAAGCGAGGUACCGUCGGUGCAACCUCUCCCUACAAACCGCAACCACCUGCCGCAGCUCCUCGUACUCAGCAUCGUCACCCGCUCCAUCAUAUCUAUAUGAUAGGAUUAACCAGUCUCAGCGUGAUUUCUUGCUUUUAUGUUGGACCAUUUCUUUAGUUUGCACGGCAUUUGGCGACCAGUCGUACAGGAACCCAGUACCCAUUUCCACGGCGCACCCAAUUGGUGAUUUUCACCAAUUAUAUGUCACCAAAUUAGCUUAGCACUACGGUAGAUUGAAGUGGCAGUUCCGACACGGGAUUCCGUGACGCGUUUCUGCAGCGCGUGACAGAAUGCCGGGGCGCUUAUGAAGUUUUUGUUACGUAUGUAUGCGUUAUUUCAAGUAGAAUGCAGCCAGAGUGCGCUACCAGAAAACGGCGAGCAGGCGCGGCCGUCGUCUACUGGGCACCGACGAAUGUGACGCAAAACGUGAAGCGCAGUCAGCCCCUUAAGGCAAGCUUGCAAAAACAUGAAUAAAAAAGAAGCUCCUCGACGAAACGUGAUGCAAGGACGAGCGACCAGUACACCGUUCAUACGCAUCCAAAAUGCGAACGGCACGGCUGGUAUAAGAUGUUUAACUAGAUGUGCAACGGUUAUUAAUACAAGAAAAUGCUAUAUUAUUUAUGAUUUGCAAGCAGCUACUAGAACAAUGCGUUUGUUGGCUACGAAAGCUACGAAUCGUACAUUUUGGAUACAGCACACAUUUGAUAACUCACCAGGCAUUAUCAUGGAUAACAGCAGUAACCCGAUGAAAAGAAAGUAGCGAGCAGCGCUCCAAAGAUGACCCAUGGGUCAUCCGUUGCCCGACCGAGAACAGCGAAAGCAUCAAUCAUCUUUUGGAGCCAUGGCACCGGAGCCAUGGCUCCGGUGGCCACCGGCAUAUGCGGUUGCGUGUCUACUACCAGAGCACCUUGAGCUGUAGGUCAAAAAUUGCAUGUAAUCGUUUACUAAGCUUCUACACGUAAGCUAUUAUACAUGAACACAUGGCAUGGAGUAUAGGUGUUUAGUAUACAGGAUUGUACGGCAUGGAUUGACUGUGAACGAGUCGCACAGACGAGAAGGUAGGCGGAGUAGAAAGCGGUCUCACCGGCAGCCAGGAUGAUCAGCAUUCCAGCGGAAGGUGGUGCAGAGUAAGUGUUCGCGCAUCGCAGCAAUUUUUUUAUGAUAGCUUGAUGAUCGAUCGCACAGCGCGAUAAUGUACUUGCCAAGGAUUUCAGACUCACAUAAGUACUUUGUUUAUUACAAAGCAGGUAAAAGGAGUAGUAAACAGCUCGGCGACUUCGCCCCGACAGAGAUCGAGCCGCGCAAAAAUGACUAGGAGAUCUUCCGAUAAUUAUAAGUGCCCUAAACGAAAGAGAUCACGUAUUUGGCAGCUUGGAAAUGACUAGCGAAACUCUCCCUAUAGGGUGUUUGUACGACACGGAUAAAAAUGAGUUGCGAAGGUGAUCGAAGGUAAUAAAGGCGGGGGCAAACAGUAGCACCGAAUGAGAUGAGUGAGCUGGUACAACCUUUUGAUAACGACAUUUUAACAGCCACAUCAGGAGUGCUGCUACAAAAAAAAUAAUUGCUGGUGCUUUCCUGCAGCUGGGGACGAAGUCAUCAUGAAUGCUGGCAUCGUGUCCUUGUUCCACUUAUUGCUGUGCUCCGCAUUUCACGCGGCCGUGUCUACUGCAUCAGAAAAUAUCCUUAGGUUCGGAACGCAAACUCCCCUGCGCGUCCCUCUUCACGACGGUGAAUGGGCGUUGGAAGCGACUCGUAACCUGUCCGCUUGGCGCUCGCAGUUAUUUAUGUCCACAGAACAGGUAAAUGCCACUUACCGAUGCAAUCAUAACCCCGGUGGUUGGUAACCCAAUCGUAACCGCCUGAGAUUAAGUAAGACAAUCCAAGGCUGGGUAGAAUGCGAUCAACAGUAGUGCUGGAAGCUCACCACAUACUGGCCGACUUUGUAGCAGUGGGAGUUCCGUGGGUCUGAAUGGGGUCGGAUCGCUCCCAGCCUGAAAGCGCUUGGUGGUGUCAAACGUUCAAACACAACCAGCUGGUGAGCGCCCGAUGCUUGUCGACUGCACGCACCAAGGGCUUUGGGAGGCAUGCCCGCACUCCCAGUAGGAUGUCCUUGUCGUGCUAUCAGAGUACCACGUACUGCACGGAGGGCCAUUCCUCUGUUUAGGCCGUACAGUGGCACCUCCCGUGAGCUAUCGAAAGGGAGGCACGCACCUAAAAACACAUUUUGACAACAGGCAGUUGUCCCCUGGGGAAGGCCUCCAUGCUUUCCACGUUCCGUGGUUUGGAUCGGGGUUGGUGUCCUCGUGAUGGACCAAAAGCGCUGUUCAGAUCUAAAACCUCCAUCUCCCAAAACUCACACCGAACUGGAUUUCCUCCCUUUUUACAUACUCUCCCCUCACUGCCAGUAUAUCGUGUCGAAGAAUAACCUGGACAAGACGAAGCAUAAGUGGGACCGCUUCCACUUGUUCCAGCCCUUCAUCAGCUGCCCGCCAGGGCGGCCGCUGCGCCGUGUGGGCCCGGAGGGUGAUGGCGGCAAAUGGCUCUGUGAGCCCGCUGUCCUAAAGGAACCGUGCACCGUCGUUUCCAUGGGCAGCAACAUGGCCUUCGGGUAGGAUUGCCCGCUGCUGCACAUGCGAAGUCGUGUAGGGCUUCUCUCGGCCGUGAUGUGAGAUAUCCUUAUUUCCACCGUUGUGCAGCAACUUCGUGUACAUAGCCACUCUCAUUAUGCACUCCUCUCAUUCCGUGCAACGCUGCAACCCGGACGUGGAUUGAUUCCCCAUCACGCACAUUGUCCGAUCCCCUCAUUUCUAAUCUCGCGAGUAGAGCACAACAUGGAGGCUAUCACUGAUACGUAUCAUGAAGUUAAGCUAAAGGUGCUGUCACUUGCUCGCAUGCUGCUGUUGCCGCUACAUCGCCAAUCGUACGAAUGUACGACAGGUUCGAAGAGGCCAUCUUGAAUGAGACGCCCUGCCAGGUUGUCACGCUAGAUUGCACGGUGGAGGGCAAGAAGCUCUCAGACCGCCAUACCUUCCACAGACUGUGUGUGGGGUCAUCCGCCCUGGCUAAUGUUGAUACGACAUUUGUGACGUACCGCCAGUUCGUUUCAGCGCUAGGGUUGCAGGAGAUUCCCGUACUGAAGAUCGACGUCGAGUCAUUUGAGUUUCCGCUGUUCGGGGAGUGGCGUGAGCACUCGCGAUCCCUGCCCGAGCAGAUUGCCGUAGAAGUUCAUUUGCACGAGAGGCGCCUGAACCACUCGGAAUUGGAGUUGCGAUCGCAUUGGGGCCGUGGCGAGUUUGGUGUCAUGGACUUAGCACUCUUUUUCUCGCACCUAGCUAACCUAGGCUACGGCAUUGUCAGCCAGGAGAUGAACAAAUUAUGUGUAUCGUGCUCCGAAUUCACAUUGGUACGGGUUGAGGCAUCAGUGCCGUACGGCGGCAUGGAUCCCGUAUAUACGGGAUGGCACAGUACCUAAUAAGCUUGCCUUAGUUAGCCUAGGACUGCUUGUCGUGUGAGAUGCAGGGGCUGGGCAAGGAUAUGGUGGCUAAUAGAAUGCUGAGUGCGUGUGAGGACAUCUACAGUUCACGGGCCAUCAUAGUUACUGUGCUUACAUGCUUCAGCACAACAAUGCCAUCCGUGAAACGAUCUAUAAUUACUAUCACUCAAUCAUGUGUGUGCGGCCUAAUCACUUCGACGACGGGAAUUGGCAGUCGCCUCCAUCUGAGGCAGGGUCUUAUAUUUCUGGGUUACACGGCAUGAACGGUCCUAAGGCAUUGGCUUCUGUACGCAGCAGCAGUACUCGGGAAGGCACCAAGGUAGGACCUUGUGUUAUUCUGAAGAUGGAGAUGGAUCACAUCGGACGGAUGUUAUGCUUUGUAUUUCGUUGUUGGGGGGGGAUGUUAAAAGCUACUGUAUCUAGUACACCAUUUGAGGUCAUCCAAGCAUCUCCUACUACAUUACCAGUGUUAACUGUAGUAAUCUUGCCCUCUUAAGCUUAAGGUGUUAGGAGCCCUUCGGUAUGAUGCUUGGUGAUUAUUAUAGCGGGCUACCACGCCAACGCUACCACGCCAACGCCGUUGGCGGUGAGAGGGUGGAUACAUUGUGUGGGCAAAGCUCGUCCUGAGAAAGGACGACGAGCACCGGGGGAGGGGCCUGGAUUGGAGGUGAAGAUUUUUGGUACAGUUUGCAU
rnacentral:lncRNA from 1 species